CCCUCCUCCUCCACCUUCUCGUCCAGCCGGCUGGGGAUGGACCAGUAGAGAUGGGCGUCAAGGCGGGCUGCGGCCUCGGCCAGCUCCCGGGCGCUGCAUGAGGGUGUGGGCACCUCAAAGGUCUGGUGGAAGCUGGCAUAGUCUACCUCGUAGAAGCCAUCCUCCAGGGUCAGCACUGACGUGAAGCGGUGACCCCACAGCACCUCAUCCACCAGCCCGCCCGCACCCGUGGCUUCCACCAUGCCCUCGAGGAUGACGACGAUCUCGAAGUCGUCCCUCUCGAGGGCGCGGCGCGACGCCUCCCAGAAGGGGCUGGCGGCGUCGAUCUCGUGGCUGAUGACGAGCGGUGAGACGAGGAAGAGGCGGUCGUCGCCCGUGUCAAAGCCCACGCUGAGGUCGGUCUGGUGCAGCGGGAUGAACUCGCCCUCGAGCGUCUGGCGCGAGCGGAUGAGCUUGGCGCGGAUGGAAGCCUCGACUAUGUGCGACGAGCGCAGGUCGCCCACGCGGAACAUGAGGCAGAGGCGCCCGUCGCGCAGCGACACCACGGCGUGCGAGGAGAAGACGAGCGUGGCGGCGCGCUUGUUGGGCUGCGAGAUCUUGACGAACAUGCAGCCCACCAUGAAGGCGUUCACCAUGGAGCCCAGGAUGGCCUGCAGCAGCAGCAGCACGAUGCCCUCGGGGCACUGGUCGGUGAUGACGCGGUGCCCGUAGCCGAUGGUGGUCUCCGUCUCGAUGGAGAAGAGGAAGGCGGCCACGAAACCGUUGAGGUUGUUGACGCACGGCGUCCACGCCGUGUCCUCCAGGUGCUCCAGGUCGCCGCGGCCGUAGGCGAUCAGCCACCAGAUGGCGCCGAAGAAGAGCCAGGUGAGCGCGUAGGCCAGCACGAAGAAGAGCAGGCUCAGGCGCCACUGCAGGUCCACGAGCGUGGUGAACAGGUCGGUCAGGUAGCGGUACGUCUCGCGCACGUUGCCCUGCUGCACGUUGCAGCGGCCGUCCUUCUCCACGUAGCGCUGGCGGCCGCGGCGCCGCGGCUGCUCCUCAGGCCCCGGCGAGAAGGCGGCGUUCUCCUGCGCCAUGGCCGUGGCCGCGGCGGGGAGGUCACGGCCCGGGCGGCGGCGCGGGGCCUGGAGGGGCUGAGAGGUGGGCCAGAUUAGCCGAGCCGCGGGAGAGGCCGAGACGUCCGGGCCUGCGCCCAGGGGCCGGGUGGCCCAGAGCGAGUCCCUUGCUGUGUCAGCCUCAGCUUUCCGCAUCGGUAGAAUGGGAGCAAUACACACAACCCUAGCCGUCCCCACCCCCAGCUCACAACACCGUGAAGAUCAAAUGGGAUAGUGUGUAUGAACUGGAUCGCACUCUGCACGACUGAGUGUUUUCAGGGAAACGGGGUACCAGAGGUCUUGGUCCCACUGCUCUAACUGGGCUGCACAGCACCUCACGGCCACCCCCAGGCGAGAGGCCCAGGCAAGGAGGGAGCUUCCGGAAACGCUUAGGCUGUGGGUUCCUUCGAGGCAGGUGCUUAAUCUUCCUCUCCUGUGCAGAGCCCUCCCUGCCCGAAGGCCACCCCCGCCCCACUCCGCCCUGGCUGAUAUCAGGCAGUCCCCUAAUCCCUGUCUCCGCAAUUCAACCUGCUGUCUAACCAGGCUCUUUGGAAGUUCACCUGGAGACUGACACAGAAAGUCUUUCCCAUUCCUCCCUCCUUGGACCUCGCUUACUCUACCCCCUCCCACAUCUUCUUCCUCUCAACAAGCUUACGAAGGAGAAAUGGAAGUGGUGGAAAACGAGUGAAAAAUCUCCAGUGGGCAAGGGUUGAACAUUCCCACCUUGGGAAAUUCCUACUGGAAAUCCUCCCUGAGGACUGACCAUGAUCAUUGCGGCUGUAGCGUCAGCCCCAUUUCCCCUAGGUUAUUUCCACAGUGGAGACAGCCUGCAAAUGGGCAGGAGGACGGGAGAAUAUGAGAUCAACACGGACAGCCGGGGUAAAGGAAGCACAAAGUUCAAGCCCACGAUGUCCUCGAUUGGCUUAGAGAUCACAGGUCAUUCAGAGAAGUACCUGGGCCCACUUAUUCCAGCUUCUGCCAAGGUGGGCUUUCGGAUGUUCUCUCAGGGUCUUAGGUAAUCUGACCCCCAAUCUGCCUGCUGAGGCAGAUUUCUCUGCCCAGGUGUGGGGAAGAAACGCCAGAGUCUGAUGGCCCCCAGAACUCUCUCACCCGCCAUUGCCCUGGGAAUCUAGGUGAGCCUCACUUUGAUUGUGUUUUAUCUCCUGUCUUCGGGC